rnacentral:lncRNA from 1 species
AUGGAUAUCAAGGCUUUAAACUGGGGGAGGAAGCACAGGAGAAUGCCAAGACCAUUCCAGAUCAAGGUUUGUUUUUCUUCUCCAUCACACCUCACAAGGAACACAGAGAGUGAUGUCCUGUCACUUUGAUGCGUCUCUCUACUCAAAUGGCAGAAACCAACCAGGUGAGUUGUCAUAACUUUAGAUGAGGCUAGGAUAAAAAUACACCUUGGAGAGCUUGCUUUCUGAUGACAGACUGAGAGUAGCUCUUUUUGAUUUGAGUGAUUUGGAGCUUAAAUUCAGUGCCAACCCACAUGAGUGUCUCAGGACGCAGGGUUAGGAAAGAGAUUAUACCAGGAGUAUAAG